rnacentral:hammerhead_ribozyme from 1 species
AUCCUAUUGACGAGUCCCAAAUAGGACGAAACGCGCGUCCUGGAU